rnacentral:lncRNA from 1 species
AUCAUGUCCGUGCACUUUGCGGAGGUGCUCCAGAUUUUCCUGUGCAUCGUCUCCUCCAUCCCCGUGAUGAGGCAGCCGCUCCAGAUUCUUUUCCUCAUCUUGGUCACCGAUCUUCCGCCUUCAAUCGCGCUCGGCUUCGAGCCCGGUGAGGCGCUCACCAUGAAGCGCGCGCCCCGGCCCAAGACCCAGCCCAUCGUCAUGAACUGGAUGUGGCGCGGUAUCGUCGCCAACGGUCUCAUCCUCACCGUGUGCAUCUUCUACACCUACAUGAUCGCGCUCUGGGCGUACGCCGGUGCCUUCACCUCCGACGAAAUCACCGAUCCCACCCGCACGUCGUGCGCCAUCUGGGAGAAGGAGAAGAUGACCCCCACCCUCAAGAUUGAUUGCGGCCUCUGGACUGGAUGCAACACCUCCGCGGCAGCCGG